rnacentral:rRNA from 1 species
GACAGAGGUGGCAAGCGUUGUUCGGAAUCAUUGGGCUUAAAGAGCACGUAGGCGGUCCUUCAAGUGUCUUGUGAAAUCCCUCGGCUCAACCGAGGAAUUGCUGGGCAUACUGUGGGACUUGAGGCAGGUAUGGGCGAGUGGAACUCUUGGUGGAGCGGUGGAAUGCGUAGAUAUCAAGAGGAACGCCGGUGGUGAAGACGACUCGCUGGGCCUGUCCUGACGCUGAUGUGCGAAAGCCAGGGGAGCAAACGGG